AGAGUUUGAUCCUGGCUCAGAGCGAACGCUGGCGGCAUGCUUAACACAUGCAAGUCGCACGGGCACUUCGGUGUCAGUGGCGGACGGGUGAGUAACGCGUAGGUAUCUGUCCUUGGGUGGGGGAUAACGGUUGGAAACGACUGCUAAUACCGCAUGAUAACUGAGGUUUAAAGGCGCAAGUCGCCUGAGGAGGAGCCUGC
rnacentral:rRNA from 1 species